UACGUAGGGUGCAAGCGUUGUCCGGAAUUAUUGGGCGUAAAGAGCUUGUAGGCGGUUUGUCGCGUCUGCUGUGAAAUUUCGGGGCUCAACCCCGAACUUGCAGUGGGUACGGGCAGACUAGAGUGUGGUAGGGGAGACUGGAAUUCCUGGUGUAGCGGUGGAAUGCGCAGAUAUCAGGAGGAACACCGGUGGCGAAGGCGGGUCUCUGGGCCGACAUUGACGCUGAGGAGCGAAAGCGUGGGGAGCGAACAGG
rnacentral:rRNA from 1 species